CAGCGGUUCCCAUUCAGCGGCUUUAUUCUGAUGAAUCUGCUGACCACCAGAGGUGAGCUGUGCCUGAGGUUGUUGCGUGAUGUGUUGUGCUUCACAAUCUGAGGCAAUAAGGGCAGGUGGAGAGAUGGAGGGACUCAUAAGGGCAGGUGGAGUGAUGGAGGGUCUCAUAAGGGCAGGUGGAGUGAUGGAGGGUCUCAUCCAUGGCACCAUUUCCAGGAUUCAGCUCUGGGCUCCUCAUCCUCAGUGCUCACACCAGUCUGCUGACAUUUCAGAUCCUACAAAAAUGCACAAAAAUAACACAAAAGCAGUCAUUUUAACAGCACAAUGUCAUUUGAUUUCAGUAUU